rnacentral:rRNA from 1 species
AUCCUGAUUCAGGGAGGCAGUGACAAGAAAUAACAACUUUCAACUUUGCUGAAAAGUGUAAUGAGGAUAAUUUACAAACCUUACCGAAAGCAAUUGGAGGGCAAGUCUGGUGCCAGCAGCCGCGGUAAUUCCAGCUCCAAAAGCGUAUAUUAAAGUUGUUGCAGUUAAAAAGCUCGUAGUUGAAGUUCUGGCUGUAUUGGGCCUUAGCACUUGAUGCGGAGGAACCAGCAGUCAUCCGCUUGCAAAUACAUGUCCUUCCUUAACCGGUAGGCUGUAUAAGUAAGCACUUUACCUUGAGAAAAACAGAGUGUUCCAGGCAGGUUUGUCCGGAAUGCGUUAGCAUGGAAUAAUAGAAUAUGACUGAAGUCGAUUUAUUGGUUUAAGGCUUUAGUAAUGAUUAAUAGGAACAAUCGGGGGCAUUGGUACUUGUCAGUCAGAGGUGAAAUUCUAGGAUUUGACAAAGACUAACUGAUGCGAAAGCGUUUGCCAAGAAUGUAUUCAUUAAUCAAGAACGAAAGUUAGGGGAUCAAAGACGAUCAGAUACCGCCCUAGUCUUAACUAUAAACUAUACCGACUCGGAUUCAGAUGAAUUUUAAAGUUCAUUUGGGACCGUAGGAGAAAUCAAAGUCUUUGGGUUCUGGGGGGAGUAUGGUCGCAAGGCUGAAACUUAAAGGAAUUGGCGGUUUUGCACCACCAUGGAGUGGAGCCUGCGGCUUAAUUUGACCCAACACUGGGAAACUCAUCAGGGCAAGAAGAUUUUAGGAUUGACAGAUUGAGAGUUCUUUCUUGAUUGGUCUAGUGGUGGUGCAUGGCCGUUCUUAGUUGGUGGUGUGAUCUGUCUGGUUAAUUCCGUUAACGAACGAGACCCUAACCUGCUAACUAGUACUUUGAUUUUCAAUCGGAGUUACUUCUUAGAGGGACUAUGUGAGUAAUCACAUGGAAGUUUGAGGCAAUAACAGGUCUGUGAUGCCCUUAGAUGUCCUGAGCUGCACGCGCGCUACAAUGACACAUUCAGCGAGUAUUUCCUGACCCGAAAGGGCUCGGGUGAUCUUUUCAGUGUGUGUCGUGAUAGGGAUAGAUCUUUGUAAUUAUGGAUCUUGAACGAGGAAUUCCUAGUAAGCGCACGUCAUCAGCGUGUGCUGAUUACGUCCCUGCAAAAUGUACACACCGCCCGUCGCUAUUACCGAUUGGGUGUAUAGGUGAACCUUCUCGAUAGCCGCAAGGCUAGAAAUUAAGUAAACCUUUGCACCUAGAGGAAAUAAAAGUCGUAACAAGGUU